AGGUGAUCCUGUAGUACAACAAAUCCUUUGUGGAAUGAGGCAAGCCAAAGAACUUGGCGUCCAAACAGAAGUGUCAUCACUUGAUAAUGGAUAUACUUGAAUCAGCCAAGCUACCCAUUCAGCAGCAGGAUAUUUGACAGCCUUUCUGAUUAAAGAAAAGAAGGUUCUUGGCUGAGACUUCCCUGUAAUAAAAGAUGGAUCAACAUGAAAACAACAAACUGAAGUUUAGUAACAAGUAUACAUCCUGCGUACAUGGAAGAGACCCAAGAAAACUGUGUAACUCCCCACAGUGGUCCAAGCCAUCACCUUAAAUAUCCUUUCUACCUAAAGACAGAAGAAGAUGAUGCUGGGCCAGACCGGGAAGCCAGUACUGGGAGAUUUUUAGACAAAGCACAGUAACCAAAGCUCAGCAAGACACAGCUCUGUUUACACUCUCAGGCCAUGAUCCAUAAAGUUGCCUUUGGCCUCAACUGACCCCCUUUCUCCAUGUCAGAAUUGGAGAGAAGAAACACUCACAAGAUGGAAUAAAGAAUUGAAUGGUCUACUUCUUGUUUCUGCCAAGUUAGUGUCUGCUACAAAAAGAGAAACAAAUGAAAAAAAAAAAAACCUACUUAACUUAAGUCUAAGUAAGUGCUUCUUAUUAAUAUGCAUAUGAAUCUCCUGGUGAUCUUGAUAAAUUUCUGCUUCACUAUUUCUGAGGUAAGGCCUGAGAUUCUGCAUUUCUAACAAGCUCCCAGGUGAUGUUGAUACUGCUUGUCGGAAGACCACAUUUUGAGUAGUGUGUUAGCAGAAUUUUAAUGAAGCCCCUCCCCAGCCAAGGGGAAAGGAGUUUGCUGUUGUAAUUAAAGUCUCAAGUCAGUUGACCCUACGAUAUGGAGGUUAUCCAGUGGAGCCUGAUCUAAUCUCAUACGACCUUUAAAUGGCAGGCUCUAGAGGGAAAAGAGGAGUCAAAGACAUUUGAAGCAUAAGAGGGGUGUGACCGGCUGCUACUUUGAACGUGGAGGGGGCACAUGAGAAGGACUCUGUCGACUUUGAAGAGGUGAGCAUGGCCCCUAGUUGGCAGCCAGAAAGGAAAUGGAGACCUCCAAACUGGCUGACACCUUCGAUGAGCUGGAUUCCACAGCAACAUGAAUGAGGUUGGAAGAGGGUUCAUGCUCAGAGACUCUGGAACAGAUAGCUGCCUGGCUGCUUUCUGCCUUGUGAGGCUCCACGUGGGGAACCCAGCUUGGCCGUGCUGUGCCCAAACUUGUGACCCACAGGAACUGUGAGAUAAUAAAUGGUGUUGUUUUAAGCUGCUAAA